UCUAUCAGUCAUGCUAGUAAAUAUAUAUAGGAACAAAUUAGGUUAAUGAUAAUGGGCCUAAGUUUAUUUUGAAACCCAAUAUUAAAUUAAAAACUGAAUAAAGUUAAAUAAUUAAAAUAGUUAAAAUUAAAAUAAAAACUAAUUAACCUAUUUAUUUAUUCUAGACCCAAUAUAAAAAUAAAUAGACUCAAAAAAAAAAAGUCGGGCACCAAAAUGCUCGAAAAAAUAAAAUGAACACGUCAAAAUAAUCAGCGCGAAAUAAAUGACUCGGAAAAAUACAGCGUUUGGUCGGAUUUUG
rnacentral:lncRNA from 1 species